rnacentral:rRNA from 1 species
CGCGUAGGCGGCCCGGUAAGUCCGCUGUAAAAGUCCAGGGCUCAACCCUGGAAAGCCGGUGGAUACUGUCGGGCUAGAGUCCGGAAGAGGCGAGUGGAAUUCCUGGUGUAGCGGUGGAAUGCGCAGAUAUCAGGAGGAACACCGAUGGCGAAGGCAGCUCGCUGGGACGGUACUGACGCUGAGGCGCGAAAGCGUGGGGAGCGAACA